rnacentral:rRNA from 1 species
UACGAGGGGGGCUAGCGUUGCUCGGAAUUACUGGGCGUAAAGGGAGCGUAGGCGGACUGUUAAGUUAGAGGUGAAAGCCCAGGGCUUAACCUUGGAAUUGCCUUUGAUACUGGCAGUCUUGAGUACGGAAGAGGUAUGUGGAACUCCGAGUGUAGAGGUGAAAUUCGUAGAUAUUCGGAAGAACACCAGUGGCGAAGGCGACAUACUGGUCCGUUACUGACGCUGAGGCUCGAAAGCGUGGGGAGCAAACAGG